AGAGAGAGACAUGCGCGCAUAUCAAUAAGCGGAGGAAAAGAAACUAACAAGGAUUCCCCUAGUAACGGCGAGUGAAGCGGGAAGAGCUCAAAUUUGAAAUCUUAAAGGGUUUCCCUUUACGAAUUGUAGUUUAAAGAAGUGUUUUCUGUUGAGGUUUUGGUAAAAGUUCUUUGGAAUAGGACAUCAUAGAGGGUGAGAAUCCCGUAUUUGACCUUUACUUUCAACUUUGUGAUACACUUUCAAAGAGUCGGAUUGUUUGGGAAUGCAGUCCAAAAUGGGUGGUAAAUUUCAUCUAAAGCUAAAUAUUGGCGAGAGACCGAUAGCGAACAAGUACCGUGAGGGAAAGAUGAAAAGAACUUUGAAAAGAGAGUUAAACAGUACGUGAAAUUGUCAAAAGGGAAGCGUUUGACACCAGUGUUGUUUUUCUGAAAAUCAAUUAAAGAACUGUUUAUGCUAAGUUGUUUAGACUUUAUCAGCUAACUGUUUAGUUUUGAGCUUUUCUUUAAUGCACUUUUCAGUUAACAAGUCAACAUCAAUUUCUUUUGCUGUAAAAAAGCUUGAGGAAGGUGGCUUGAGAUUCGUCUUAAGUGUUUAUAGCCUCUUGCCUAUGCAGUCGGAGAGAUUGAGGUCUGCAGCGUAGAUCCUUCGGGGCUAAAUGCAUUUGUGCUAAGUUAUAGCAUUUUAUAGACAACUUGUUGACUAUGAUUUGUCUUGUAGCUUACUCGCUUAUGUAUUUUACCUACGCUUAGGAUGUUGAGCGCAUGUCUCUCUCU
rnacentral:rRNA from 1 species